GUGGGGAAUCUUGCGCAAUGGGCGAAAGCCUGACGCAGCCAUGCCGCGUGAAUGAUGAAGGUCUUAGGAUUGUAAAAUUCUUUCACCGGGGACGAUAAUGACGGUACCCGGAGAAGAAGCUCCGGCUAACUUCGUGCCAGCAGCCGCGGUAAUACGAAGGGGGCUAGCGUUGCUCGGAAUUACUGGGCGUAAAGGGCGCGUAGGCGGACAGCUUAGUCAGAUGUGAAAGCCCAGGGCUCAACCUUGGCAUUGCCUUUGAUACUGGCUGUCUUGAGUUUGGGAGAGGUGAGUGGAACUCCGAGUGUAGAGGUGAAAUUCGUAGAUAUUCGGAAGAACACCAGUGGCGAAGGCGACUCACUGGCCCAAUACUGACGCUGAGGCGCGAAAGCGUGGGGAGCAAACAGGAUUAGAUACCCGAGUAGUCC
rnacentral:rRNA from 1 species